rfam:Oryza glaberrima chromosome 6 Oglab06_unplaced168_11, whole genome shotgun sequence.
AUGCCAUGGUGAGGACAAGCCAUGAUAUACUCCUAGAGCCUCUCCCAUGCCUCUGGUAUCAACUCAUUACUGGCCU